rnacentral:rRNA from 1 species
GAUGAACGCUGACAGAAUGCUUAACACAUGCAAGUCUUUGGCGAAGCUGUGCUUGCACAGCCUAGCCAAGGCGGACGGGUGAGUAACGCGUAAGGAACUUGCCCUGCAGUCAGGGAUAACAGACGGAAACGACUGAUAAGACCUGGUAAAGUCAGGCGGACUCAUGUCCAGCCUGAUGAAAAGAGAUGCUGCAGGAGAGCCUUGCGUCCUAUUAGCUUGUUGGUGGGGUAACGGCCCACCAAGGCGAUGAUAGGUAGCCGGCCUGAGAGGGUGGACGGCCACAAGGGGACUGAGAGACGGCCCUUACUACUACGGGAGGCAGCAGUGGGGAAUAUUGGACAAUGGGGGCAACCCUGAUCCAGCAAUUCUGUGUGCACGAUGAAGGUUUUCGGAUUGUAAAGUGCUUUCAGCGGGGAAGAAAAAAAUGACGGUACCUGCAGAAGAAGCGACGGCUAAAUACGUG